UGCUCAAGUUGCCAAGCCGUUGCUGAGCCUCCUUCAGAGCAUUUAAAAAUCUUUGUUUGCUCGAUUCUCUCACCAUUUCGGAUAUAGCAUUCUUGUCAAGUUUAUUGACCUGUUUAUCAGAGUUUUUAUUCCGAUAAUAAUUUUCUUCUGCACGCUGCAAGAACUCAAUCUUGUCAUUCACGCCUGAUUUUCUUGACAACUUAGAACUGGCUAGGCUCUUCACAACCUCAGUACCAUCAUCUGAAUCAGAUAUAUCUUCCUCAGAAGUGCCUGCUUCAUCAUCACGAUUCCAGAAUUCAGAGAAUUGUUCUCCAUGAGUCACAUCUGCAGAGCUGUUUAUAAAAAUUCGAGAAAUGCCAUUUCCCCGAUGAGAAGUGCAAAUUGUUGAGAUCUCCUCCAAAUACUUGGCAACUAAGUUUGGAUGCUUGCAAGCAUCGCAAGAUUUUUUACAUAGUGAUGCAGGCACCUGUUCUCCGAAACUUUCAAGAAUCUUUUUCCUGCGGCACCCAGAACCCUCACAAUACUCAACCAUCUGAAUGUUGUAUGCAUUUCACAUGAAGCAUCAGUUGCAAAGGAGAUUCAUAUACUGAAAAAGAAUUGAAAGUCACCUGAUUGAAGUCAGACAGGGAUUUUUUUGACAACCCAUCCUGUGAACUUGAGGAUUCUGACUUUUUGCUCUCAGCACUUCUUAGAAUAAAUUCCAUUUUCUUGCGAUCAUCAACUCCAUAGUACAACAGACUUCUACAGGGCAAUUGAUCACGACCAGCUCUACCUGACUCCUGAUAGAAAGCUUCCAUUGACUUUGGAACAUUAAAGUGACAAACUAUUCUGACAUCCUUUCUAUCUAUACCCUAGAAAAUAGUUUUCAGUCCGUUAGUGGCAUAUGUAUCAAGACUCCAGUCCAGAGUUCAUUGAAAUCAUUAGCAUUUAGCUACAUACCAUCCUGAAAGAAUGAUUUUCUCACUUACUGAUCAGUCACCAGAACAGCUCCAAGCAGAAGAAUAAUAUGAAAACAAACAAAAUCAUCACAAUCUAGUGUAAUAGGAUAAAACAAAAGAAACUGAGUAAAACAGUUGAUAGAAAACUUAUUUUCCUUCAAAUGAUUACAAAAUUCGCCACUCACAUCAAAUUCACCAUUUUCUAAAACAAAUCCAGAUAUCUAAAUUGAUGCAUCAAUUAGUACAUUUCUGAAAAGAAAAAAUUUUGAGAGAAUAUAUAUCACUCAAAACCCAGGACACCACACAUGAAAGCCAUAAAAUUAUGGAGUUGAUCAUACCCAAAAGCCACUGUGGCAACAACAACUUGUAUUUUAGCAGACAUCCAAUCAUCUAAAACAGAGCUUCGCAAUUUAUUAUUCAACCCUGCAUGGUAAGCAGCACAUGAAAUGCCAUUUUUGGAAAGAUGGGCAGACAAGCCAUCACAAGUUGUUCGCUCAAGGCAGUAAAUAAUUGCACAGACAUCCCCACUAGAUUUGAGUACAGAGGACAAAUCAACAUAGGCAUCAUCCAGAAGAUCCUUAUAUCUAACUUCAUAAUAGAUAUUUGAACGAUUAAAGGAAGAUUUCAGAACCAAGGGGUCUUGCAAGCAUAAGGACUGUAUUACAUCCUUCUGAACUUUAGGAACAGCUGUAGCGGUCAAAGCCAGUAUUGGUACAUCAGGAAGGCAAUUCCUCAAAGAUGAAAGUUUACGAUAGCUAGGCCUGAAAUCAUGGCCCCAUGUUGAGAUGCAAUGUGCCUGAAACAAAAUUAAGAGAGAAAGAGGCAAAAAGGAAAAAAAUAAUAUAGAAAAGAAGCUGUAUGUCCUUUUGAAGAGUGAAGACAACUAAGGAGUUCAGCCUUUAUUAAAACAUAGAAAAUAUAAUUUCACACCUCAUCUAUGGCAAUGAGAUUCAAGAACCCUCUAGUAUGAAUCCUCGUUAACUUAGACAUAAAUCCUGGUGUUGCAAUCAAUUCUGGAGUGACAUACAGCAACCUUGGGGAUGGUUUUCCAGAAUCUAGGUCUUCAUGAAUCUUAAAAAUAAUAAGUUAAUUAAUUAAUUAAUAUGCGCGUUGUUUAGAAAUAUAAUUACACAAUUUCAAGUUUACAAGUCCUAGACAGGGUAAAGUUCAUGAUAAUCAUUGCAAAGAAAGAAAAUAAAGAAUGGGACUAGUGAAAAAAUUGCAUCAACUGCAGACAAUACUUAUUACCCAUUAACAUUCACAAAAUAAGACUUAUUACCUAUGAAUGACACAUUCUAUUUAGAAUGCUGAAGUUUUUAAGAUACUCGAAAACAGUCGCUAAGCAAAUUAACCAUGAGAUCAUAUCAGGAACUCUAAUAACUCACUUUACUUUUGACAUUUGAUGUUUGGGUUGAGGAGAGAAAUUCAGCAGCAAUUCCUUUCUCUUUCAAUGCCAUCACCUGGUUUUCCAUCAAGGCUAUUAAGGGAGAAACAACAAGCACAAUCCCCGGUUUUGCAAGUGCAGGAAUCUGAUAACACAUUGACUUGCCUCCUCCAGUCGGCAUCAAGCAAAAGCAAUCUCUCCCUGAUAAGACAGCUUGAAUAGCUUCCAAUUGCUUGCCUCUAAAAUCAGAAAAACCAAAAUGCCAUCUCAAAAGCUUCACCAAUGCUUCCUUUCCGGUGGUCUUCUUCUCAUUGCCACAUAUUUUUUGCACUGUCAACGGCGACUUCUUCAUCUCUAACUCACUGCCCUGCCUUGCCCUUGGAAAGCAAAGCUCCUUCUCUUGCUCCUCCAGGCUCCACUUGUUAUUCCCGUGAAUUUUUCCGGCCCGGAUCGCAGUCGAGAUUAUGCAGCCUCACAAGUUC
rnacentral:misc_RNA from 1 species